GGGACAAAUAAGUAAAUACUUCAGCCUACUCCUUUUCAAACAAAUAAUGGAAUGAUAUUUUGUAAUGAUUGUGAAGGCACAUGUUUGAAAUGUUUGAAAUAAAAAUGAACUGAACUGAACUAAUUUAGCCUAAUCUUUGCCAAUUUUAAACCCAUGUGGAAACUGGAUGUCGUAGUUGUGCAGAAACAAACGGAGCUCACAAACUUUUGCCUACAACUAUGUGUUCAAGAAGCUCAUCUAUCAGACUCAGAAUAAGAAACUCAAACAACAUUUAGUAGCACAUUAGGAUGGUGUUUGCAGAGGCUGUCCCAAGUUUUAUUGUUUUAUUACAUUUCUCUCCCUCGCUUCUUCUGUCCUCUUUCCUUUUGUUCUUUCUUCAGCCCCUCUCAUUUGUCUCCUGCUUACAGAGCAUACUGAACUCGUGCUUUUUUCUCUCUUUUUUCUCCAUAUAACAGGAUUAUACAGUAUAGUUUAAUCAACUGAUGUUUUUUUCUUUUUGCUCAGCCAAACAGGAUUAUAGAUUCCAUAGCAGAUUCAUCUGCAGCUUCUGAUGCAUCUGCUUUAGCCAAAGGCAGUUCUUGAUGCUGAGCUGUCCCAGCAGGCAGUGCUGGUGGUUACCAACUGUUGAGAUUCAAAUUUGUGAUGCUUGUUGGAGCCAAAUCCAUCCCAUGAUAAGCAAGUUGUGCAAGACGUCAGUUUCAAGGGGCUAUGACACCAACAGAGUAAAUUCACAGACUCCGCCCCCAGCACGGCUCCAAUCGAAGCUGAAGUGAAGCCGUUUCAGAACAUUUUGCUCUACAUAUUUGAGUUGUUUGCCAUGCUUGGAUAUGCUUGUGAAGAUGGAAUAUGGGGGAGAGCAGAAGUGCGCUGAAGUUCCACAAAGGGAUGAAUGAAGGACAUGCAUAUUGUAUUGAAGAAAUAAGUGAUGAGAAUGCUGUUAUUUGCAUUUACCAUGUCAGACCUUUUGAUAAGCAAAAUUCUAAUGAAAGUGAGAAC
ensembl:lncRNA